rnacentral:rRNA from 1 species
GCAGCAGUGGGGAAUAUUGCACAAUGGGCGCAAGCCUGAUGCAGCCAUGCCGCGUGUGUGAAGAAGGCCUUCGGGUUGUAAAGCACUUUCAGUUGUGAGGAAGGUGGUGUCGUUAAUAGCGGCAUCAUUUGACGUUAGCAACAGAAGAAGCACCGGCUAACUCCGUGCCAGCAGCCGCGGUAAUACGGAGGGUGCGAGCGUUAAUCGGAAUUACUGGGCGUAAAGCGCAUGCAGGUGGUUUGUUAAGUCAGAUGUGAAAGCCCGGGGCUCAACCUCGGAACUGCAUUUGAAACUGGCAGACUAGAGUACUGUAGAGGGGGGUAGAAUUUCAGGUGUAGCGGUGAAAUGCGUAGAGAUCUGAAGGAAUACCGGUGGCGAAGGCGGCCCCCUGGACAGAUACUGACACUCAGAUGCGAAAGCGUGGGGAGCAAACAGGAUUAGAUACCCUGGUAGUCCACGCUGUAAACGAUGUCUACUUGGAGGUUGUGGCCUUGAGCCGUGGCUUUCGGAG